rnacentral:lncRNA from 1 species
UAAUUGGGUGAAGAACUUGAAAGGAUCACAGAGGAAUUAAUUUAUGAGAACUGAUGGAGUGGAAAGCAUCUCAGCAGAGUCAGCUUGUGUUUGCUGAACUCAGGCUAACAUCACCGAUCGACUUUUUCCACAUACUGAACUGGGCAAAAAAGGAUGAGGCAGACUUCAAUGAAACCUUGGAAAGUUCCUAAGUCUCUGUAUACCCAUCUGAACAGGACAGUCUUCAAAUAUCCUGUGCUAGUAAUUUAAAACACUAAGAGAUAAUCUUGAAAAAUCAAGGAAUUCUCUCCAAGUGUGAAGUCUGUUGUUAGUCUCUGACCUUUUUUUCCAUUGCCCUUGUCUAACAAUGAACCAACUAAAUAAAGCUUUGAACAUUUUUCACCAAUCUGUAAAUGUGAUGUGUUU